rnacentral:rRNA from 1 species
UCUGCUCAGUAACACGUGGACAACCUACCCUGAGGUCGGGGAUAAACCCGGGAAACUGGGUAUAAUACCCGAUAGAUCUAGAUUGCUGGAAUGCUUUUAGGUCUAAAGUUCCGACGCCUCAGGAUGGGUCUGCGGCCUAUCAGGGUAGUAGUGGGUGUAAAGUACCUACUAGCCUACGACGGGUACGGGUUGUGAGAGCAAGAGCCCGGAGAUGGAUUCUGAGACACGAAUCCAGGCCCUACGGGGUGCAGCAGGCGCGAAACCUUUACAAUGCUGGCAACAGCGAUAAGGGGACCUCGAGUGCUACGAUACAAUCGUGGCUGUCUAGUUGCCUAAAAAGCAAUUGAUAGCAAGGGCCGGGCAAGACCGGUGCCAGCCGCCGCGGUAACACCGGCGGCUCGAGUGGUAACCGCUAUUAUUGGGUCUAAAGGGUCUGUAGCCGGCUUAGUUAGUCUCUUGAGAAAUCUGGCCGCUCAACGGUCAGGCGUUCAGGGGAUACUGCUAAAGCUCGAGACCGGGAGAGGUGAGAGGCACUUCAGGGGUAGGGGUGAAAUCUUGUAAUCCUUGAAGGACCACCAGUGGCGAAGGCGUCUCACCAGAACGGAUCUGACGGCAAGGGACGAAAGCUAGGGGCACGAACCGGAUUAGAUACCCGGGUAGUCCUAGCCGUAAACGAUACUCGCUAGGUGUCGGCCACGGUGCGACCGUGGUCGGUGCCGUAGGGAAGCCGUGAAGCGAGCCACCUGGGAAGUACGGCCGCAAGGCUGAAACUUAAAGGAAUUGGCGGGGGAGCAC